CAAGACCUAUCGCUUUCGGAGUGGCCGAUAUCAGAUUAGCUAGUUGGUGAGGUAAAGGCUCACCAAGGCGACGAUCUGUAGCUGGUCUGAGAGGACGACCAGCCACACUGGGACUGAGACACGGCCCAGACUCCUACGGGAGGCAGCAGUGGGGAAUUUUGGACAAUGGGGGCAACCCUGAUCCAGCCAUGCCGCGUGAGUGAAGAAGGCCUUCGGGUUGUAAAGCUCUUUCGGACAGAAAGAAAUCGCACUUACUAAUACUAGGUGUGGAUGACGGUACUGUAAGAAGAAGCACCGGCUAACUACGUGCCAGCAGCCGCGGUAAUACGUAGGGUGCGAGCGUUAAUCGGAAUUACUGGGCGUAAAGCGUGCGCAGGCGGUUUUGUAAGACAGACGUGAAAUCCCCGGGCUUAACCUGGGAACUGCGUUUGAAACUACAAAG
rnacentral:rRNA from 1 species